UACGUAGGGGGCAAGCGUUGUCCGGAUUUAUUGGGCGUAAAGAGCGUGUAGGCGGCCAGGUAGGUCUGCUGUGAAAACUCGAGGCUUAACCUCGAGCUGUCGGCGGAAACCAUCUGGCUAGAGUCCGGAAGAGGAGAAUGGAAUUCCCGGUGUAGCGGUGAAAUGCGCAGAUAUCGGGAAGAACACCCGUGGCGAAGGCG
rnacentral:rRNA from 1 species